ACCUCCGGGACUGUGAUUCGUAUAUGCGAGGUGCAACGAAAGUAAGAAUCAGCUAACGGAUUCGCAGUGGUGCCUUUAUCGAACGAAGACGUCGGAGGGAGGACACCGUCGGCCGUCGGCAGCUCUUGUGAACGAGAAGUGUUUAAAGGCCCGAAGAUUCUGCCUUCGCAGCAACUGGGCGCUGCGGUCGCUCCAUGGCCGGGCGCAACCGGCCUCAUAGCUUCGGUCACUGCUGACGACAUGGCACACAAAGGACACAGCGGGGUAAACCAGCUGGGGGGUGUCUUCGUCGGCGGUCGGCCACUUCCGGACUCAACACGGCAAAAGAUCGUCGAGCUUGCACAUUCGGGCGCACGGCCAUGUGAUAUCUCCAGGAUAUUACAGGUCAGCAACGGCUGUGUCUCCAAGAUCCUCGGCAGGUACUAUGAGACCGGAUCUAUAAGGCCCAGGGCCAUAGGCGGCAGCAAACCGCGCGUGGCAACGGCAGAGGUUGUCAGUAAGAUCUCGCUCUACAAAAGUGAGUGCCCGUCCAUCUUCGCGUGGGAGAUUCGAGAUCGCUUGUUGCAGGAGGGAGUGUGCACGAACGACAACAUUCCGAGUGUGUCUUCGAUCAACAGGGUACUGAGGAAUCUGGCCGCGCAGAAGGAGCAGAGGCAGCAGCAACAACAACAGCAACAAGGGGUGGGCGCCGUGGGGGUUGGCGUCGGUGCCGGCAGUCCGGCGGAGAGCGUUUACGAUAAACUCAGGCUACUAAACGGACAGACUACCGGCUGGCCGCGACCCAAUCCCUGGUAUCCGUCGAGCGCGGGAAGUCCGUUUUCGUCGAUACAAUCUAGUUUGAGUCCGAGCCAUUGUUCGUCUUUGCCACCGGAUCCAGCGGAUAUAUUGCACGCGAAGAAAGUAACCGAGCUCGAGGGUGGCGCGCACUCGGACGAGACGAAUAGCGGUGGUGACAACAGCAACGCUGGCAGCGUGUCAGGCGGCGCCGAUGACGACCAGGCGCGUCUUCGCCUAAAGAGGAAACUGCAAAGGAAUCGCACGAGCUUCAGCAACGAGCAGAUCGAUGCUCUCGAGAAAGAGUUCGAAAGAACGCAUUAUCCGGACGUAUUCGCCAGGGAAAGACUUGCCGGCAAGAUCGGCCUACCGGAGGCACGAAUACAGGUCUGGUUUUCGAAUCGGCGGGCCAAGUGGCGGCGCGAGGAGAAAUUGCGCACGCAACGGAGGGAUAAUCCACCACCGCCACCGCAGCAGCAGCAGCAACAGCAACAACAGCAACAACAACACACUGCCGGCGUGAGUCUAGUGGGUGCUGGCCAUCCGACGCCGCCGCCACCUUCGGGGAUACUCGGGGGCCAGCCGCCUCCGCAAGUACCACCCUCACCACCUAGAAUACAUCAUGGAUUUGCGCCCACCGCUGUGUACCCUGGAAUACCCAGCAUGCCUGAUUCGUACAGCCCGAUGACGUCGAUGCCGAGUUUCACGAUGUCGGGCGCCAGUCAACAGAAUCAACACACGACGAGUAGCAUGUCCUCGCUAUCCACCGGGGGUGGCAUGAGUCCAAUGGGUAUGACCGUGGGUAUGACCGUCGGACCGAGUCCUGGCGCGUGCCUCCAACAACGGGACAAUGGCUAUUCCUGCGGAGUCGCGAGACCACCGAGCUACGAGCCCCUUCACCUUGGUUACGGCGCUAGGCCAACCUGCAGCCCUACGCAGCCCUAUCACGCGGCGAGCCUCAAUCAGUACAAUCAAAACGCCAGCUCGACCGGUGAGUGUCUACCGCACUCACUGCAUUCGCUGCUUGCACUCUAGCCGAUGGACUACUACUACGGCUACCAUGGAUAACACGCUAUCGAGCCCGCCGGUCUAAUAUCACCUGGCGUGAGUGUGCCGAUCGCGGUACCAGGUCAACCGGCACCCGAUAUGGCGGCG